rnacentral:lncRNA from 1 species
GAGGAGACUUGUAAUAGUAUGGCGGAGGAGGUGAUGGGGAUGGUGGUGGUGGAGACUUGUAGUAGUAUGGUGGAGGAGGUGACGGCGAUGGUGGUGGGGGAGAUUUGUAGUAGUAUGGAGGAGGAGGUGAUGGUGAUGGUGGUGGUGGAGAUUUGUAGUAGUAUGGUGGAGGAGGUGAUGGUGAUGGUGGUGGUGGAGACUUGUAGUAGUAUGGAGGUGGGGGAGAUGGGGAAGGUGGUGGUGGAGACUUGUAGUAGUAUGGUGGGGGAGGAGAGUAUACUGGAGGUGGAGGUGAUUUGUAGUAGUAUGGUGGAGGAGGAGAGUAGACGGGUGGAGGAGGUGACUUGUAGUAGUAAGGCGGGGGAGGAGAGUAGACUGGAGGAGGAGGUGAUUUGUAGUAGUAUGGUGGGGGUGGCGAGUAGACUGGAGGAGGAGGUGACUUGUAGUAGUAUGGUGGUGGAGGAGAGUAGACGGGUGGAGGUGGUGACUUGUAAUAGUAUGGUGGGGGUGGCGAGUAAACUGGAGGAGGAGGUGACUUGUAGUAGUAUGGUGGUGGAGGAGAGUAGACGGGUGGAGGUGGUGACUUGUAGUAGUAUGGUGGGGGAGGAGAGUAAACGGGUGGAGGUGGUGACUUGUAGUAGUAUGGUGGGGGAGGAGAGUAGACAGGUGGGGGUGGUGACUUGUAGUAGUAUGGUGGGGGAGGAGAGUAGACAGGUGGGGGUGGUGACUUGUAGUAGUAUGGUGGGGGAGGAGAGUAGACAGGUGGAGGUGGUGACUUGUAGUAGUAUGGUGGGGGAGGAGAGUAGACGGGUGGAGGUGGUGACUUGUAGUAGUAUGGUGGUGGUGGAGAGUAGACUGGAGGAGGAGGUGACUUGUAGUAAUAUGGUGGUGGAGGAGAGUAGACGGGUGGAGGAGGUGACUUGUAGUAGUAUGGUGGGGGAGGAGAGUAGACGGGUGGAGGUGGUGACUUGUAGUAGUAUGGUGGUGGUGGAGAGUAUACUGGAGGUGGUGGUGAUUUGUAGUAGUAUGGUGGAGGUGGAGAGUAUACUGGAGGUGGUGGUGACUUGUAGUAGUAUGGUGGAGGUGGAGAGUAUACUGGAGGAGGUGGUGAUUUGUAGUAGUAUGGUGGGGGAGGAGAGUACACUGGAGGUGGUGGUGAUUUGUAGUAGUAUGGUGGAGGUGGAGAGUAUACUGGAGGAGGUGGUGACUUGUAGUAGUAUGGUGGAG